UACGUAGGGUCCGAGCGUUGUCCGGAAUUAUUGGGCGUAAAGAGCUCGUAGGCGGUCUGUCGCGUCGGUUGUGAAAACCUGGGGCUCAACCCCGGGCCUGCAGCCGAUACGGGCAGACUAGAGUUCGGCAGGGGAGACUGGAAUUCCUGGUGUAGCGGUGAAAUGCGCAGAUAUCAGGAGGAACACCGGUGGCGAAGGCGGGUCUCUGGGCCGAUACUGACACUGAGGAGCGAAAGCGUGGGGAGCGAACAGG
rnacentral:rRNA from 1 species